GACGAACGCUGGCGGCGUGCUUAACACAUGCCAGUCGAACGGAAAGGCCCUGCUUGCAGGGUACUCGAGUGGCGAACGGGUGAGUAACACGUGGGUGAUCUGCCCUGCACUUCGGGAUAAGCCUGGGAAACUGGGUCUAAUACCGGAUAGGAGCCAUUUUUAGUGUGAUGGUUGGAAAGUUUUUUCGGUGUAGGAUGAGCUUGCGGCCUAUCAGCUUGUUGGUGGGGUAAUGGCCUACCAAGGCGGCGACGGGUAGCCGGCCUGAGAGGGUGGACGGCCACAUUGGGACUGAGAUACGGCCCAGACUCCUACGGGAGGCAGCAGUGGGGAAGAGUGCACAAUGGGCGCAAGCCUGAUGCAGCGACGCCGCGUGGGGGAUGACGGCCUUCGGGUUGUAAACUCCUUUCGCUAGGGACGAAGCUUUUUGUGACGGUACCUAGAUAAGAAGCACCGGCUAACUACGUG
rnacentral:rRNA from 1 species